CCUACGGGAGGCAGCAGUGGGGAAUAUUGGACAAUGGGGGAAACCCUGAUCCAGCGACGCCGCGUGAGUGAAGAAGUAUUUCGGUACGUAAAGCUCUAUCAGCAGGAAAGAAAAUGACGGUACCUGACUAAGAAGCCCCGGCUAACUACGUGCCAGCAGCCGCGGUACUACGUAGGGGGCAAGCGUUAUCCGGAUUUACUGGGUGUAAAGGGAGCGUAGACGGCAGGGCAAGUCUGCAGUGAAAUGCCGGGGCGCAACCCCGGAACUGCACUGGAAACUGUGAAGCUGGAGUGAAGGAGAGGUAAGCGGAAUUCCUGGUGUAGCGGUGAAAUGCGUAGAUAUCAGGAGGAACACCGGCGGCGAAGGCGGCUUACUGGACUGUAACUGACGUUGAAGCACGAAAGCGUGGGGAUCGAACAUGAUUAGAUACCCCAGUAGUC
rnacentral:rRNA from 1 species